rnacentral:rRNA from 1 species
GUGUAUCUGCUCUUGAAGCAGGUAUUUAUUAUCUAUCAUACUUCCAAGAAAAGCUCGAACUACUGUUAAAUAUAAAAUACCUGUACCGUAAACCGACACAGGUAGGUUAGUAGAGUAUACUAAGGGGCGCGAGAUAACUCUCUCUAAGGAACUCGGCAAAAUGACCCCGUAACUUCGGGAGAAGGGGUGCCCACUCUAAAGGUGGGCCGCAGUGACCAGGCCCUGGCGACUGUUUAUCAAAAACAUAGGUCUCCGCAAAGUCGUAAGACAACAUAUGGGGGCUGACGCCUGCCCAGUGCCGGAAGGUUAAGGAAGUAGGUUAGGAUUUAUCCGAAGCUCACGACUGAAGCCCCGGUGAACGGCGGCCGUAACAAUAACGGUCCUAAGGUAGCGAAAUUCCUUGUCGGCUAAGUUCCGACCCGCACGAAAGGCGUAACGAUCAGGGCACUGUCUCGGAGAGAGACUCGGUGAAAUAGACAUGUCUGUGAAGAUGCGGACUACUUGCACUUGGACAGAAAGACCCUAUGAAGCUUGACUGUAGCUUGGAAUUGGGUUCGGGCUUUUCUUGCGCAGCCUAGGUGGGAGGCUAUGAAGAAAUACUUCUGGGUAUUUUGGAGCCAUCAGUGAGAGACCACUCUGGAGAAGCUAGAAUUCUAAUGGCGUUCCUUGAAGCAGGACGCUUGACAGUUUCAGGUGGGCAGUUUGACUGGGGCGGUCACCUCCUAAAAGGUAACGGAGGUGUGCAAAGGUUCCCUCAGGCUGGACGGAAAUCAGCCGUAGAGUGUAAAGGCAGAAGGGAGCUUGACUGCAAGACCUACAAGUCGAGCAGGGGCGAAAGCCGGCCUUAGUGAUCCGACGGUUCCGUGUGGAAGGGCCGUCGCUAAACGGAUAAAAGUUACUCUAGGAUAACCGGCCGAUCUUCCCCAAGAGUUCACAUCGACGGGAAGGUUUGGCACCUCGAUGUCGGCUCAUCGCAACCUGGGGCGGUAGUACGUCCCAAGGGUUGGGCUGUUCGCCCAUGAAAGCGGUACGUGAGCUGGGUUCAGAACGUCGUGAGACAGUUCGGUCCAUAUCCGGUGUAAGCGUUGGAGCAUUGAGAGGAUUCUUCCAUAGUACGAGAGGACCUGGAAGAACACACCUCUGGUAUACCAGUUAUCACGCCAGUGGUAAACGCUGGGUAGUCAAGUGUGGAGAGGAUAACCGCUGAAAGCAUCUAAGUGGGAAGCCCACCUCAAGAUGAGUGCUCCCUAUGAGGUCACGGCAAGACCAGCCGUUUGAUAGGCAGUAGGUGUACGUCUAGCAAUAGAUUUAGCUGAGCUGUACUAAUAGACCCAUUGAUUUU